AGAAGGGAAGAAGUCACUCCACAAUAUCGGUCAUUCCGUCGGUGUGUUGCAGGACGUGAAGAUGGACCCGAAGUGAUUGCCAAGGACUUACCAGUGAAUUGUGUGGAAAUUAAAACGUGGCAGCAGUGCGAACAGAACAAGUUACCAGCUAGCCGCCAGCGAGGGUGACCCAACAUUGCCCGCGCACUGGAUAAUGGUAACGUGCAGGUCUCUCCCGUGCAUGCCAAUAGGUUCAGGUAAUGUGCCAUGGGACUUGUUUUUUUUAGCUUUUUCUGUGUUCUCGUAAGGCGUGCGCGAGUGGCUUGUUCUGCUUCUUACGCAUUUUGGGGUUUCGUAUUGAUUUGUCGUGCGUUG